rnacentral:rRNA from 1 species
CUCAUUAAAUCAGUUAUAGUUUAUUUGAUGGUCUCUUUUGUUCUUUUUUUUACCUUACUUGGAUAAUCGUGGUAAUUCUAGAGCUAACACAUGCGCAAGGUCCCAAGCGCGGAGGGUAGGGCUUCACGGCUCUAUUCUUGCAUGCGCAGCGGGAUGUAUUUAUUAGGUUAAACAACCAGCAUUUUCAUCAUCUGGUGAUUCAUGGUAACUCUUUCGGAUCGCAUUCAUG